rnacentral:lncRNA from 11 species
AAGAAACCUCCUUCUUCUCCUUGAUCCCGGUGACUUACAGACUUACAGAAAGGGAUCCCUCUCCUGGCCAGGCCAAAAGGGAGGAAGCAGCAGCAGCCGGAGGAAGAAGAAACCGAUGCAUUUCAGAGAUAAACAAGAUCUAGUUGGGAGUGGCUUUACCACUAGACAGCCGCAGACGUUGGCAGUGGGUUCUUGGAAAGCAAGAACAAGAUUUUUGAAGAUGCACAAUGCACCUUGCACACUGAAGCUGGCCUUUUGCCCUCAGAUUGGAAGUCCCUACCCACCACCUGGACAAAUUCUGAAAAAUCAGAAGACAUAAAGAGCUCAUCUGAUCAGAUAAGACAUCCCUAGAUGUUCAGACACUAGACCUGAAAUAUGUUGCUGCACAGUCCCAUAAACAGAAGUUAAAUGUUGGUUUAUUCCCACGUAAGUAUCUCACAAACUAUACCUUUAAGAGUCCAAGCUCAGCCAACGGUCUAGGCUGGAGGAGGAAACUCUGACCUCAUUUCUACUGCUAUAUAAUCCAGUUUCUCAAUCCAGAUUAUAUGCUUUGAAUUGGAUUAUAUGGCAGUUUAGACUCAUAUAAUCCAGUUCAAAUCAUAUAAUUUAGAUUCAGAAAUGGGAUUAUAUGGCAGUGGAGAUCCAGCCUCCCAUAGAAUUAACAAGAAGAGAGAAGGGUGUGUGUGGAGUUGGAACAGUGGGGCUUGUAGUUUUCAUUUCAAUGAAGUAGUGAAUCCAUUGCAGGCUUUAGUACAUCCCUUAGGUCUCUUCCACACAGCUGCAUAAAAUCCACAUUGAGCUGGAUUAUAUAGCAGUGUGGAUUCAGAUAAUCCAAUUCAAAGCAGAUAUUGUAGAUUAUCUGC